rnacentral:rRNA from 2 species
GGACUCUCGGCAACGGAUAUCUCGGCUCUUGCAUCGAUGAAGAACGUAGCGAAAUGCGAUACUUGGUGUGAAUUGCAGAAUCCCGUGAACCAUCGAGUCUUUGAACGCAAGUUGCGCCCAAAGCCAUUAGGCUGAGGGCACGCCUGCCUGGGUGUCG